AUGAACGCUGGCGGCGUGCCUAAUACAUGCAAGUCGAGCGAACGGACGAGAAGCUUGCUUCUCUGAUGUUAGCGGCGGACGGGUGAGUAACACGUGGAUAACCUACCUAUAAGACUGGGAUAACUUCGGGAAACCGUAGCUAAUACCGGAUAAUAUUUUGAACCGCAUGGUUCAAAAGUGAAAGACGGUCUUGCUGUCACUUAUAGAUGGAUCCGCGCUGCAUUAGCUAGUUGGUAAGGUAACGGCUUACCAAGGCAACGAUGCAUAGCCGACCUGAGAGGGUGAUCGGCAACACUGGAACUGAGCCACGGUCCAGACUCCUACGGGAGGCAGCAGUAGGGAAUCUUCCGCAAUGGGCGAAAGCCUGACGGAGCAACGCCGCGUGAGUGAUGAAGGUCUUCGGAUCGUAAAACUCUGUUAUUAGGGAAGAACAUAUGUGUAAGUAACUGUGCACAUCUUGACGGUACCUAAUCAGAAAGCCACGGCUAUCUACGUG
rnacentral:rRNA from 1 species